GACGAACGCUGGCGGCGUGCCUAAUACAUGCAAGUAGAACGCUGAAGAGAGGAGCUUACUCUUCUUGGAUGAGUUGCGAACGGGUGAGUAACGCGUAGGUAACCUGCCUUGUAGCGGGGGAUAACUAUUGGAAACGAUAGCUAAUACCGCAUAACAAUGGAUGACACAUGUCAUUUAUUUGAAAGGGGCAAUCGCUCCACUACAAGAUGGACCUGCGUUGUAUUAGCUAGUAGGUGAGGUAAUGGCUCACCUAGGCGACGAUACAUAGCCGACCUGAGAGGGUGAUCGGCCACACUGGGACUGAGACACGGCCCAGACUCCUACGGGAGGCAGCAGUAGGGAAUCUUCGGCAAUGGGGGCAACCCUGACCGAGCAACGCCGCGUGAGUGAAGAAGGUUUUCGGAUCGUAAAGCUCUGUUGUAAGUCAAGAACGGGUGUGAGAGUGGAAAGUUCACACUGUGACGGUAGCUUACCAGAAAGGGACGGCUAACUACGUG
rnacentral:rRNA from 1 species